UGCAACCGGACCUAAGUCAGUUAGGUUAGGUUAAACACGUGCUCGGCCGUUUCUGUGACAUUUCGUCGACAGCAGAGGAUGAGCUAACGUUUUAGCAGCCUCGAGUUUCAAGAACAUGGUGCGGAAUUUUCUACGAUCAUCGUACCAACACCGUCGUUGACGAUGACAAUGGAAAUGGUACAUCGGUAAGGUGUAGGUGAGCAUGGAAAGAAAAGGGAAAAGAAAGGAAGUGAUAAUAGUGAGGACUGUGUGAUAAAAACAAAAAGGCUUUAGAAAAUACAGGAAAGAAUGAUGGCAAUGGUAAAGGCAAGUCGGUUUCUCAGUAUCACUUUGAUUGCGCCAUCAUGUUAUCUCCAGAACUUGCUACAGUUGUUGGCGCAGAACAGAUGUCUCAAUAUGAAGUCUUGGAGAAAAUAUAGAUUAUCAUUAAAGAAAGAAAUCUUUAUGAUCCUGAGGAUGAAUAAUCAUAAUUUGCGAUGAAGGAUUAAUGAAGAAAUGCUUUUCAAAAAUAUUGGAUGUAAUAGAAUGACAGCUUUUAUUCUCAACGUUUUUGAAAAAGUGUGUGUUUUAAAGAAAUGUAGAAAAAUAAGGAGAGAAGCUUUGCGGGAAAUCAUCCUCUUCUGUAUAAUAGCUACAGCAUCUGAAAAUAUAUAUUAAUAUUCAUUUAGAAUGAUAUAUUAAUAUUCAUUUAGAAUGAAUGUAAUCGCACAUAUGAUUAUUUUUCAUACUAUAAAUAUGUGCUUCUAUUAAAAUAUAUUUUUGUUCUGUUACUUUAUUAAUGCGUAUCACAUUUAUCUCUUCUAGUUUGAACUUCCUUAUCUUGAGGCGGAAUAUCUUAUGCAUAAAUACCAUAUCGAAAAAGCGAGUUGAACAUCUGUACUAUGAGUAAUGCAUCGAUUUAUGUUUGCCUGAGAAAUUAUCACAUAUGAAGUAAAAUGAUAAUAUUUCUCAUAUACAAAACAAAAUACUUGAAAAAAAAACACAAGACAAGUUCAUCAAGGAAUGUUGGAAUCUUCAUCAAUAUGAAAUGGAAGUGAAUGUUCUGAAUGUCGUGAAUCUUCUGAUUAUGAUGAACAUUUAAGUGCAAUUCUUUCUCCGUCAAUCCUGUGAAAAAUAAAUAUUUUUUAUAUCUCAAAUAUGAAUACAUAAAAAAUUGCGAUCACCAACUUACUCUUCUUGACUUUGAUUUCAAUUUCUUCAUAUAAUUGGAACAGAUGGAUAUAUUCCACAUGAUUGCGAACAAAAUUGAGCGCCUCAUAAACAUAUCUAUUAAGAAUCGGUGAAAAACCUAUAGAUUACUUUUAUUUAUAAAUAAAAAUACUUGUCGAGAUUUUCUCCAAAUUUAACAGCUGCUUCGGGCGAUUUAAAAGCGUAAAAUUUUUCUUGUUAUUUUGCCAUUCGGAUUUCCGGAAAUAUUUAACUGUUUGGAAAUAUUUUAUUGAUAUAAGGAAAGCAAU